CGCGGUAACCUGACCGUGCUAAGGUAGCAUAGUCAUUAGUCUUUUAAUUGAAGGCUGGUAUGAAAGGUUGAACAAGAAGUAAGCUGUCUUUGUUUAUAUGUAUGAAAUUUAACUUUUGAGUGAGAAGGCUUAAAUGUUUUAAGGGGACGAUAAGACCCUAUAAAACUUUACAUUGGGGGGUUGAUGUAUAAAUUUGAGUUUAAAGGUGUAUAGUGGCUGAGGGUGUUUUGCUGGGGUGGCAGGAAUAUAAUGAUUAACUGUUCUAAUAUGUGUUAUAAGGAUAAUUAGGGAUUUUGAUCCUUUAUNUAAGGAUUGUUAGAUUAAGUUACUUUAGGGAUAACAGCGUUAUUUUUUCUGAGAGUUCAUAUCGACGGAAGUAGUUGCGACCUCGAUGUUGAAUCAAAAUGUUGGCAAGGUGUAGAAG
rnacentral:rRNA from 1 species